GAAACACAUGGCUGUGUUGUUGUCUCAUAAAAGCAGACUGCAAGGUUUGGAAAGCCUGAAGAAAGAACACGACGGUACGCAGAACUGACGGUUUACUCUACAGCGCAUGCAUUGCUUCACCCUGGAAAUGUGAAAAUAUGCUGUUUUUCCGUCAUGGAAGAUCUGUGUAUGCAGAGGAUUGUGGCGGAUUCGGUGGAUUACGGCGAUGAAGUAGAUUUUUUUUCUUUUAAUAAAAUGGUUAACGAGGGCUGUG